AAAGUUGAGUCAAUUGUCAAUUCGAUUCAAUUUCGAUUGUCGAUCAAGUCAUCGAUGUAUCGACAACUUGUUUUCAUUUUCUUAUCAAUCGUUUUUUAUUAUCACUUGAAAUUUGAAUUUGAAUUUUUCGUGCUAAAAGUAAGUAGUUGAACCGGUAAAAAUGAUGUUAUAUUCGAAAAAGUGUUCAAUUUUUGUCUCUUUUAACACUAUUUUAGUGUUCCCGAACCUUUAAUGAUUCGAUCCGUCAUACUAAGCCGUAAAAAUGGAUCUAUAUAGUGUAGAUGAACUGAUUUUCUUUUGUCGAUUAUGUUUGCAACGAUGUGGAGAACACGAAUUUGUCGACAUUUACAAAGAUGACGAUUAUUCGACAUAUUCCAAAGAACUGACGUUAUCCCACAAAAUUUCAGCCUGUGUUUCUAUCGAGUUAUCUCUGUUCAAUCAUGAGCCGAGGAAGAUAUGCAUAAGAUGUUUGAAUCAUAUCAAUGCGUGGUUCGACUUCAAGACAUCUUGUAACGCUGCAAACGAUGUUUUACAAAAAUAUUUACGCAAUGCCGAAGAGAAAAAUACACCGGUAUUUUCUGGAACGAAGACCGAAGAUAGUUUAUGCUUUCCAGAAGUUAGUUUGCUGAGUUGUGAUACAUUGCUGGAGAAAAGUAUGAGUUUAAACUCAAAUAUCUCAUCCAUCGUACAUUAUUUUCUAAAUCCAGAAAAAAAUGAUGAUAAGAUUGGAACUGAAUCCCAGAGUGUUGAAGUUGCUGAUAGUUUUAGUCAAGAAAUUAGACCAUGUGAUGAUAAUCAAAAAUCAACGUUCAACUCAUCGCCCAUUUUUCCACCGGCAAAAAUGGAUGAAGCUAAAUCUAUAAAUGAUGGCAGUGGUUACCAUUGUACUUUAUGCUACAGCAAUUUCAAUAAUUUCUCCUCAUUUCUAUCUCACGAUGAAACCAUUCAUUCUACGGAAAUGCGAAAAUAUUCGUGCACUGUUUGCGGUAGAUUGUUCAUUUCUCAAGAUCGUUUGAAUAUACAUACUAGAUUGACUCAUCGAGAGAAAACGCAUCAAUGUGAAGUAUGCGAUAAGCUUUUCGUUUCCAAGAAGUCGCUUCAAGUUCACAGUAGAUUACAUACCGAAAAGUAUAAAUGUGAAAAGUGUGGUUUCCUGAGUACUUCUAAAUUAUACCUGAAUCAGCAUAUGCAAAAGCACGAUAGUUCUUUUGAAUUUUUCACAUGUGAUAUUUGUCAGCAGAAAUUUUCCCAAAAACAGUCGCUUCUUCGUCAUAGCAAGCUGCAUUCGAAGAACCAUGGUAAAUGCUUCAAGUGUUCGAUUUGUUAUUUAUUAUUCAGAUCGAAUAGUGAACUUGUAGCCCACAAGAGUAAUACGCAUAACGGAACCAAUACAUCGCGAACUCUUAAAUGCAGAACAUGUAACGAGUUAUUUUCAUCACGGAAAACGCUCAUUGUUCACCAAAAGAGACACCAAGAGCCUCAGUUUAAUUGUUCUGUAUGUGAGAAAAAAUUCAAAUCGAAUUAUGAUUUACGCAUUCAUAUGGGUACACACAGCGAUAGCAAGAAUUUCAGUUGUUUCCACUGUAAUAAGAAGUUUAGUUUCAAUAAAUCUUUGACGAAGCAUUUGAAGAACUAUUGCCCUAGGGUGCGUUCUGAUCUCAUUGUAGUUUGAAAUCGAUGAAGUUUGCGUGUUGAGUGCUAUUGGAACUGUUGCGUUAGUAAAGAUUUACGAUGGCUGUAGGUACUUUCUUUUUGAUGGAGAACUUUGGUAAUAGGAAUCCAGCAAAUAAAUCUGUGAAUAUGGAAAACGAGCGUUUAUGUAUGAAAAUCCAUAUCCGUAUCCAUUCCCUAUGUAGUUUGGGUAAAGUUUCUUUCAAAAUGGAUAUUCCUGAAUCCUGACGACCGACGAGUUACAGAUUGGAAUCGUUGGCAUGGCAAUGGGUUUAAAAGAACCAGAAAACGCAUUCGAAAGUGUUUCUACUAGCUGUUUGUCUUUUUCAAAAUGAGUCGCCUGUUCCAAGACCAGACGACCAGUGUGCUCUAAAUAUGUGCAUAGAUUGAUGUAUUAUUUAGUGUUGGCCAUGAGAAUAUUCUCAGUGCGAACAUUCGUCAAUAUUAUUAGGUACGUGGUUAUUUUUAAAAUUAUCAAAUAUUCGCGUUUGAGGAAAAUAAAGAGUCCAAAUUUUGACGAAACUUUGAUUUUUGCUGCAAAUAUUUGCGAACAUUACGGAAUAUUUUGCUUUAAUAAAUUCAAUACCUAUGUGUGUGAAAACCAGAGUGUGCAUCAGUUAUUUUUGCUUGAGAAUUUGAAAAUAAAUUAUUUGGAAUUAGAAAAUUUUCAUCAAUGUUCGCAAAUAUUCGCAGCAAAAAUCAAAAUUCGCGAAUGUUGUCAACACUAGAUUAUUUAUAUUUUAACUGUUUAGGCACCUAAUCGAAAAAUUCUUAAAUUGAGCAAACUUUCACUACCUAUUUAAAGAUAAAUUUUUCCUACCCCUUCAAUUUAAAAGUCCGGCAAAAAAACAGAUGAAUACGUAUUUUGCUUAAGUACUAAUCAUACCAUCCAUUUUCAUAAUUAACGAGUAUUUAUUUGUCUUCGUCUAUUUUGGUUGAGUCAUUUAAGACAGCUAUUUAUAUUUAAGGAGCUGUAGAAUAAAAUGAUGUACGUAGACGUUACUGUUCAGCUUUACCCCUCCAAAUCUCAGUAUAUCGACAAAUGUACAUACAUACUCAGUUACUCACAUCAUUGAAUUUUAAAUUACUUGCGUCUUCUGAAAGAAUGUUGGUAGUGUCUCACGUUCCGUCAAAUAUUACAAAAUGAGUGACGUCUAUUAGAACACCAAGUCAUGAAAAUGCCGAUUUUCUUCAACCCCUUUUUUUAUGUUAGUUACAUACAUAGAAUCCAAUUUCUUUUAUAAUUCUCGUAUUUUAUUUAUUUUUUCUUACUGUAAGCGACGGUUUAAUCCUCAGUGCGAAUACUGAAAAGGAUCUCGAACCAUUGGAUGCUUUGAUUACUUAUAUACUCGUCGAAAACAGAUGACUAUAACGGACAGUGUUUGAUUAAUGUCGGCGGUGACAUAUCUACUCGUAGUGCAAUACUCUCUCAGAACUUAUCGUUUGGAUACGUGUUAACUGUUAAUAUCGACAAACUGGGAUGAUGCUUAAUGCUCAAGUAUUAUUAUAACCAUAAAGGCCAGCCACAUGUUUUUUUUAAAUCGUUCAUGUUCGUAAAUUUUAAUCAAUAUAUGUAUUUUUGAGUUA